rnacentral:rRNA from 1 species
CUACGGGCGGCACCAGUGGGGAAUAUUGGACAAUGGGCGAAAGCCUGAUCCAGCAAUACCGCGUGUGUGAAGAAGGCCUGAGGGUUGUAAAGCACUUUCAAUAGGAAGGAAUACCUAUCGGUUAAUACCCGGUAGACUGACAUUACCUAUACAAGAAGCACCGGCUAACUCCGUGCCAGCAGCCGCGGUAAUACGGAGGGUGCAAGCGUUAAUCGGAAUUACUGGGCGUAAAGCGUGCGUAGGCGGUUAUUUAAGUCAGAUGUGAAAGCCCUGGGCUUAACCUGGGAACUGCAUUUGAUACUGGAUGACUAGAGUUGAGUAGAGGAGAGUGGAAUUUCAGGUGUAGCGGUGAAAUGCGUAGAGAUCUGAAGGAACACCAGUGGCGAAGGCGGCUCUCUGGACUCAAACUGACGCUGAGGUACGAAAGCGUGGGUAGCAAACAGGAUUAGAUACCCCUGUAGUC